ensembl:lncRNA
GUGGUGCUGGUGGAGGUGGAGAAGAGGAGAUGUGUUAUCUACGGUGGUGGUGGUGGUGGUGGUGGAGGUGGAGAAGAGGAGAUGUGUUAUCUGUGGUGGUGGUGGUGGUGGAGGUGGUGGUGGUGGUGGAGGUGGAGAAGAGGAGAUGUGUUAUCUGUGGUGGUGGUGGAGGUGGUGGUAGUGGUGGAGGUGGAGAAGAGGAGAUGUGUUAUCUGUGGUGGUGGUGGUGGUAGUGGUGGUGGUGGAGGUGGAGAAGAGGAGAUGUGUUAUCUGUGGUGGUGGUGGAGGUGGUGGUAGUGGUGGUGGUGGAGGUGGAGAAGAGGAGAUGUGUUAUCUGUGGUGGUGGUGGUGGAGGUG